GUAGGGAAUCUUCCACAAUGGACGCAAGUCUGAUGGAGCAACGCCGCGUGAGUGAAGAAGGCUUUCGGGUCGUAAAACUCUGUUGUUGGAGAAGAAUGGUCGGCAGAGUAACUGUUGUCGGCGUGACGGUAUCCAACCAGAAAGCCACGGCUAACUACGUGCCAGCAGCCGCGGUAAUACGUAGGUGGCAAGCGUUAUCCGGAUUUAUUGGGCGUAAAGCGAGCGCAGGCGGUUUUUUAAGUCUGAUGUGAAAGCCCUCGGCUUAACCGAGGAAGCGCAUCGGAAACUGGGAAACUUGAGUGCAGAAGAGGACAGUGGAACUCCAUGUGUAGCGGUGAAAUGCGUAGAUAUAUGGAAGAACACCAGUGGCGAAGGCGGCUGUCUGGUCUGUAACUGACGCUGAGGCUCGAAAGCAUGGGUAGCGAACAGGA
rnacentral:rRNA from 1 species